UACGAAGGGGGGCUAGCGUUGUUCGGAAUUACUGGGCGUAAAGCGCACGUAGGCGGACUAUUAAGUCAGGGGUGAAAUCCCGGGGCUCAACCCCGGAACUGCCUUUGAUACUGGUAGUCUCGAGUCCGGAAGAGGUGAGUGGAAUUCCGAGUGUAGAGGUGAAAUUCGUAGAUAUUCGGAGGAACACCAGUGGCGAAGGCGGCUCACUGGUCCGGUACUGACGCUGAGGUGCGAAAGCGUGGGGAGCGAACAGG
rnacentral:rRNA from 1 species